AAUUGCUAGUAAUCGUAGGUCAGCAUACUACGGUGAAUAGUUCCCGGGCCUUGUACACACCGCCCGUCAAACCAUGAGAGUUGGCAACACCCGAAGUCGGUAGUCUAACCGCAAGGAGGACGCCGCCGAAGGUGGGGUUGAUGAUUAGGGUUAAGUCGUAACAAGGUAAC
rnacentral:rRNA from 1 species